rnacentral:rRNA from 1 species
GACGAACGCUGGCGGCGUGCUUAAUACAUGCAAGUCGAACGGACAGGCCCUGCUUUUGCGGGGUGCUCGAGUGGCGAACGGGUGAGUAACACGCGAGUAACCUGCCCCUGACUUUGGGGUAAAUUCAGGAGACUGGGGCUCAUACCGGAUAGGAGCUCUUGAUGCACGGUGGGGGUUGGAAAGUUUCGGCGGUUGGGGAUGGACUCGCGGCUUAUCAGCUUGUUGGUGGGGUAGUGGCUUACCAAGGCUUUGACGGAUAGCCGGCCUGAGCGGUGGACCGGCCACAUGGGGACUGAGAUACGACCCAGAAUCCUACGGGAGGCAGCAGGGGGGAGUAUUGCACAAUGGGCGGAAGCCUGAUGCAGCAACGCCGCGUGCGGGAUGACGUCCUUCGAGUUGUAAACCGCUUUCGCCUGUGACGAAGCGGGAGUGACGGUAAUGGAUAAAGAAGCACCGGCUAACUACGUG